UCUGUCUAAGGGCAAACCGCCGGCGACGGCGGGACGCAAAGCCAAGGGUCUCGGGUCCCAUGCGAGAUAGCCUGGCCGCCAGA
rfam:Gemmatimonadetes bacterium 13_1_40CM_4_69_5 13_1_40cm_4_scaffold_16055, whole genome shotgun sequence.